rfam:Hordeum vulgare subsp. vulgare, WGS project CAJW01000000 data, contig: morex_contig_1566771
UUACUACUCCCUCCGCCCCAAAUUUAUUGUCUUAGAUUUAUUUAGAUAUGAAUGUAUAUAGUGAAGUUUUAGUAUUUAGAUACAUUCAUAUCUAGACAAAGCUAAGACAAGAAUUUUAGGACGGAGGGAGUAUUUA